GACGAACGCUGGCGGCGUGCUUAACACAUGCAAGUCGAGCGAUCGGCCGGUGAGGGGUAACCCGAUCCGGUACGGAGCGGCGAACGGGUGAGUAACACGUGGGCAACCUGCCCCAGGCUCUGGAAUAACCCCGGGAAACCGGGGCUAAUGCCGGAUACUCUCUCCGGGUCUCCUGGCCCGGCGAGGAAAGAACUUCGGCCUGGGAUGGGCCCGCGGCCUAUCAGCUUGUUGGUGGGGUAACGGCCCACCAAGGCGACGACGGGUAGCUGGCGUGAGAGCGUGGCCAGCCACACUGGGACUGAGACACGGCCCAGACUCCUACGGGAGGCAGCAGUGGGGAAUCUUGCGCAAUGGGCGAAAGCCUGACGCAGCGACGCCGCGUGAGGGAAGAAGGCCCUCGGGUUGUAAACCUCUUUCGGCAGGGAAGAAGCCGCAAGGUGACGGUACCUGCAGAAGAAGCCCCGGCCAACUACGUGCCAGCCGCCGCGGUAACAC
rnacentral:rRNA from 1 species